GAUGAACGCUGGCGGCGUGCCUAAUACAUGCAAGUCGAGCGAACGGACGAGAAGCUUGCUUCUCUGAUGUUAGUGGCGGACGGGUGAGUAACACGUGGAUAACUUACCUAUAAGACUGGGAUAACUUCGGGAAACCGGAGCUAAUACCGGAUAAUAUUUUGAACCGCAUGGUUCAAAAGUGAAAGACGGUCUUGCUGUCACUUAUAGAUGGAUCCGCGCUGCAUUAGCUAGUUGGUAAGGUAACGGCUUACCAAGGCAACGAUGCAUAGCCGACCUGAGAGGGUGAUCGGCCACACCGGAACUGAGACACGGUCCAGACUCCUACGGGAGGCAGCAGUAGGGAAUCUUCCGCAAUGGGCGAAAGCCUGACGGAGCAACGCCGCGUGAGUGAUGAAGGUCUUCGGAUCGUAAAACUCUGUUAUUAGGGAAGAACAUAUGUGUAAGUAACUGUGCACAUCUUGACGGUACCUAAUCAGAAAGCCACGGCUAACUACGUG
rnacentral:rRNA from 1 species